rnacentral:rRNA from 1 species
GACGAACGCUGGCGGCGUGCUUAACACAUGCAAGUCGAACGAUGAAGAAAAGAAUUGCAGCUUCGGCAGAAAUUCAUUUCGGAUUAGUGGCAGACGGGUGAGUAACGCGUGAGCAACCUACCUCUUACAAAGGGAUAGCCUCGGGAAACCGGGAUUAAUACCAUAUAACAUUGCGACGAAGCAUUUCGAUGCAAUCAAAGCUACGGCGGUAAGAGAUGGGCUCGCGUCCCAUUAACCAGAUGGUGAGGUAACGGCUCACCAUAGUAACGAUGGGUAACCGGCCUGAGAGGGUGAGCGGUCACACUGGAACUGAGACACGGUCCAGACUCCUACGGGAGGCAGCAGUGGGGAAUAUUGCACAAUGGAGGGAACUCUGAUGCAGCGACGCCGCGUGAGUGAUGAAGGAAUUCGUUUCGUAAAACUCUGUUCUAUGGGAAGAAAAGGACUGUACCAUAGGAGAAAGCUCCGGCUAAAUACGUGC